AUUGAACGCUGGCGGCAGGCCUAACACAUGCACGUCGAACGAGUGGCUGACGGGUGGGUAAUGUCUGGGAAACUGCCUGAUGGAGGGGGAUAACUACUGGAAACGGUAGAUAAUACCGCAUACCAUCGGAUGUGCCCAGAUGGGAUUAGCGAGGAGGUGGGGUAAAGGCUCCCCUAGGCGACGAUCCCUAGGUGGUCUGAGAGGCUGACCAGCAACACUGGAACGGAGACACGGUCCAGACUCCUACGGGAGGCAGCAGUGGGGAAUAUUGCACAAUGGGCGCAAGCCUGAUGCAGCCAUGCCGCGUGUAUGAAGAAGGCCUUCGGGUUGUAAAGUACUUUCAGCGGGGAGGCGUUACCCGCAGAAGAAGCACCGGCUAACUCCGUGCCAGCAGCCGCGGUAAGAC
rnacentral:rRNA from 1 species